rnacentral:rRNA from 1 species
UACGGAGGGUGCAAGCGUUAUCCGGAUUCACUGGGUUUAAAGGGUGCGUAGGCGGGCAGGUAAGUCAGUGGUGAAAUCUCCAAGCUUAACUUGGAAACUGCCGUUGAUACUAUCUGUCUUGAAUACCGUGGAGAUGAGCGGAAUAUGUCAUGUAGCGGUGAAAUGCUUAGAUAUGACAUAGAACACCAAGUGCGAAGGCAGCUCACUACACAAUCAUUGACGCUGAGGCACGAAAGCGUGGGGAUCAAACAGG